AUGGAGAAAGCUGUACGACAUGCUCUUUACUGGCCUGAUGGCACAAGGAAGAAGCUUUCAAAGUCAUCCGUAGAUCCGGAAAGGAUUAAUCAUACGCGCCUAUUGGUUCAAGCUCUACUGGACAAAUAUAAUGAAGACCACAAUCUUUUGGGGAACCUUGCGUAUGAACUCAAAGAUAUUAUGUGCAUCCGAUCAAUUUGUGAGGGCAGCCCCCAUAACUGUCACUGCCGUGGUUGUACAUAUAACAAAAGGGUAAACCUGAAGCACCCUAAUGAUGCUGAUGAAUUCUCUGGUGGUCACUUAGAUCCAUAUUUGCCAUAUGGCGGAGACACUACUGUACAAUAUAGCGGCUCUGAUGAGAAUUUGGACGCCGAGGAGGAGGAAGCUAAGCUGCAAGCUAAGGAGGAGGCUCGGUGCCUAGAUGAUCCAAGUUUUUUGGAGCAAAUGAGAAGGCGCUUCAAAGAUGAUCCGCGCGCCGAAACAUUUUUUCAGCCAAAAAGAAGACAAGGUCCUCAGCAUGCAACACCAUUACCGAACCAGCAGGAUGCAAUGGAAGAGUGA
rnacentral:rRNA from 1 species